GAAUGUAAGGGCAAUCUGGCUGUGCAGCAUGUCACUUGGUGAAUAUCUAGUGCACCGUGCAGCAGUCUAGCUAACCAGGUAGAUGUUAUUUCCCCUACUGCCCUCUUUAUAUGCGGCCCUCCAGAAGCUGUUUCCUGGCCAAGACUAUGUCUUUGCCCUAAGAGGAGAACUUUUCAUUAGACAAGUGCAUCUAAGUAUCUGCUGCUGCUGCUAAGUCACUUCAGUCGUGUCCAACUCUGUGCGACCCCAUAGACGGCAGCUACCAGGCUCCUCUGUCCAUGGGAUUUUCCAGGCAAAGUACUGGAGUGAGGUGCCAU
rnacentral:sRNA from 1 species